rnacentral:rRNA from 1 species
GUCUAUGGCCAUGCCACCCUGAACAAGCCUAAUCCUGUCUGAUUUUGGAAGCUAAGCAGAGUCAGGCCUAGUUAGUAUUUGGAUGGGAGACCAUCUAGGAAGACCAGGUACUCUAGGCG